rnacentral:rRNA from 1 species
UACGUAGGUGGCGAGCGUUAUCCGGAUUUACUGGGCGUAAAGGGUGAGUAGGCGGGGCGUCAAGUCAGGAGUGAAAAUUAUGGGCUUAACCCAUAAAAUGCUUUUGAAACUGACGUUCUUGAGAGUGGGAGAGGUAAACGGAAUUCCAAGUGUAGCGGUGAAAUGCGUAGAUAUUUGGAGGAACACCAGUGGCGAAGGCGGUUUACUGGACCACAACUGACGCUGAGGCACGAAAGCGUGGGGAGCAAACAGG